AGCUGAAAUUAUGUUAAACUAUGAGACAGAGAGUAUCAUUAAUUUAUGGUAUAAAAUACAUUUAAUGCAAUUUGAGUUACACCUUUGACAUUACCCAAUUCAAAUAACUCAAAGAGUCUAAACAUCAAUGUCUUUUGCCCAUAUUUAUAUCUUUAAGACAAUCUUACAAUAUAUUUGAGUAUAUUCAUCAGAAAAGAAGCAGCUUAGUUUGUAUCCUAAAGUUGAAAUGAUCAAUUUUACCGUGACUUGAUUUUCAGGUGAUGCUUGUCUCUCUGAAUCAAUCAGAGGCUCAGAAAAUGCUGAAAAUGAUGCAGAUGAAUCCAGCUAUGUCACAUACUCGUUGAUUCAGCUUAAACACAGUAGUAAUAAAGGGCAGCAUAAUGAACCAGAGGAGAGCUCCCUUUACUCGAAUGUGAAGACAAGAUCAGCUGCAGGAAGAUCAUCUCCUGCAGCAACAGAGGAAACUGUUUAUUCAGAAGUCAAAAUAGGAACGGCUCUUGGUAAUAAUGCUCCCAUGUAAUGUGCAUGUUGUGAUUUGUGUCUUUAAAGCGACUACAUCUUAAAUAUCCUUUUAUCUCUGCUUUUGCUGGUUUUCUUCCAGUUCCAUAACGAGAAUAGUAUUACUUUUUCAUGUGUA